CCUUCAGCGCGCGCGGCGCUUUCGUGCCGGUGCUCGUGCCUCGGCAGCCAGACAGACUCCUGGAGUCGAGGUCUUGACCGGACUGGAUACACCGCUGCAGUUGCGUCCGACCGCGACGAGCCCACGUUCGCAGCUGCCGGCCGCCGCAUGGUUUCGGUUCUCCGAUCCGCUGCCGUGAAUUAUUGCCCUGCAGACAGUGACACUACCACUUCUUUCCAACUAUCCAUUAAUGGGUCUCCGACCAUUUCGGUCCGAAAUUCGCGGUGGUCAUGUUCGACGAGCAACGUGCCAAGUGACUAAUCGAAAGGCAUCUUACCGCUACCUUACUUUGCAGACUGUGGUGGACCGUGGAAGUGACGAACAGUGAUACGGGUUAUCAGUUUUUUGUGAGAGUGACCAGUGAGACGUUGUAUGUUCACCGCAGGACGGUUCGACGUUAGUGAUUUUACCCAGCGUUCACGGUGAUGAACUUUUUAGUGCACGUGGAGAGAUUUUGAAACGUUUUGUCGUAAUCGUGAUCCUCGGGUUUCGAACAUCGACCAGUGUCGACGACGGUGAACAAGUGCUCCAGUUACUCAGGGCUUGUGAACACGGUGGACCGUGUCAAAAAUCACCAAGUAAAACUAUCCUUGAUCAAUGGUCAGGCGUUGAAUGAAGUCAUGUGCAAAUUUUCAGGAUAAUGAUUAAGCUAAUGAUCAAAUGGAAUAGACAAGUUUUCAAUGAGGUGGUUGCAGUUUAGUGGCAGUUCAUGACAGUGAAUAACCGAAGUAAGGACUGUGAUGGUUUUGUUCUUCCAUCGUGAAAUGAGACCGUACUAAAAUGGAUACGCGGUGUAUGAUUUGAGGAUUUUCAGACAAAAACUUUCGCAUACGUAAGGUGAUAAGUAAGAAAAACUGUGCGAUUACCAGUGACAGCGUAGUAGACAGUGUCGUUAAGUGAAAUAUACAACAGCAAAACUGCAGGGAGCGAGUCCGUCCGAGGUGGUAUAAGUCACGAUGCACCCCUUGAGAGAGUGAAGGAACCUGUUCGUUCGGGAAGCCUUGACAAGAGGAGAGCGAAGCUAGGUUGAAAUUGUCGAAGGAAGAACGGUCGUCGAGCGACGGUACGAAGUGGUGAAUCGGAAACGGGAACCGGCAGAAAAUUGCAGCGAUCCUCACAGCGCCGUCAUCGUCAGGAGGUGCAGGUCGGGGCCGUCGAGGAUGACGUAGCCCGGGGGUGGCCGAGCCAGGGAAACAGUGCGACCCCGGUCCGCACCCUGUACGCGCUGGACAGAAGCGCGGCAGGGCUGGGGGUGGUCGGUGGAGUCGGUGGAGUCGGGAUCGGCCCCGGGGUGGUCGGCAUCUGCGGCCCGGGAUCCGGAACGAUCACGCCGACGGACUACGUCACCGCGGGAUGCUACCCACCACCGGGCUCGACGCUUUCCUUGAGCGCCGUGCACCCCCAGCCCUCCACCGUCGUCGUUGACCAAGCGAUGACGCCCACAUCGGCGCCGGCACCAACCUCGGUCGCGGGGCCGAACAACCCCGUCGCCAUGAGCCAGCUGGGGACGGUUUACGCGACCAAACGCCGCCGGAGAAACGGAAAAAGUUUGAAGCCACCGCAGAAGGAUGGGGUGACUAAAUCGAACCCAAGCAAACGGCACCGCGAACGACUAAACGCUGAGCUGGACACUCUCGCGUCCUUGCUACCCUUCGAGCAGAAUAUACUGAGCAAACUCGACCGGCUAAGCAUCCUCAGGCUAAGCGUGAGCUACUUGCGAACCAAGAGCUACUUCCAAGUUGUGAUGCACAAGGACAAGGACGAGAGUGCUCACCACGAUUCGCAUUACCGAGCACGCGAGCUUGCUGCUCUUGCGGCGUACGACCACCAUCACCUAGACGGGGAAAUGUUCCUACAGGCGUUGAACGGAUUCCUGCUGAUCCUCACGUGCGACGGUGAAGUCUUCUUCGCAACUCACAGUAUCGAGAGUUACCUGGGCUUCCAUCAGUCCGACAUCGUUCACCAAAGCGUGUACGAGUUGGUGCACAGCGAGGACCGUGAGGAACUCCAAAGGCAAUUGAUGUGGAACUCCUUCCUACCCGCAGAAAGCGCCGGUCUUCCGCUUAACGACGCUCUGGCGCCUCAACACGGACAUCUCCUCGAGCGCAGCUUUACCGUCCGCUUCCGGUGCCUCCUGGACAACACUUCCGGCUUCCUGCGCCUCGACAUCAGGGGUAGAGUUAAGGUCCUCCACGGGCAAAACCGGAAGACGGAAGAUCCGCCCUUGGCGCUGUUCGCCCUCUGCACCCCCUUCGGUCCACCCUCGUUGCUCGAGGUGCCACAGAAGGAGGUGAUGUUCAAGAGCAAGCACAAACUGGACCUCGCCCUCGUCUCCAUGGAUCAGCGGGGUAAAAUGCUGCUGGGUUACUCGGACGCUGAGCUGGCGAACCUGGGUGGCUACGACCUUGUGCACUACGACGAUCUCGCCUACGUGGCGAGUGCGCACCAAGAACUUCUAAAGACUGGAGCAUCCGGCAUGAUAGCCUACAGGUAUCAGACCAAGGACGGUGGUUGGCAGUGGCUUCAGACGAGUUCAAGGCUCGUCUACAAGAACUCAAAGCCGGAUUUCGUAAUCAGCACACACCGUCCAUUAAUGGAAGAAGAGGGUCGAGACCUGCUAGGCAAGCGAACGAUGGAUUUCAAGGUCAGCUACCUGGACGCGGGUCUGACGAACAGUUAUUUUUCGGACAGCGAUAGCCUCACGGGUUCAGGAAUAACACCAACGCUCCCGGCUCAGCCGACGCCACAGCGAGUGAACCGUCGCUACAAGACGCAGCUUCGAGAUUUCCUCUCGACAUGCAGAGGGAAGAGAACCAAGCUGACGAGUCAGUCCUCCUCAUCACCGCCAGCGACGCCGAGUGUGGCAUCUGUCGAUUACCUGACUGCUGACACGAGCGCGGCAGCGGCAGUGGCCGCGGCAUACAGCAACCUCAACAACAUGUACCCAACCGCAUACGCGCCGACGGCGGUCGCCGCGACGAGCGAUCCGUCGUUGACGACGUACAUCGGACACACGGGCAACUACCAUCAGACCUUGUACCCUGCUGGUGCCCUGGACAACCGCUACCUAACGGCAACGGAGAACCUCUUCCAGUACCGUCCGUUGGGUUCCUACUACCCCGAGUACCACGCGACAACCGGUGCCUACAACGGUUUCCUCGACGUCUCGCUGCCCACCUACGACCCCCACCAACUGACGAGUUCGUCGUCGGGCAAAGGGGACGAUAAGCUUUACUGCCAACAACUGGCCGACUCCCCGAAGUACGGGUACGUCGAGGCUCGGCAUCCGGGCAGCGUUGGUUCCCCCUACGCGGCCAGUCCGGUGGCCACGGUGCCGGUGGUCCAUGGUCCGGGAAGUCGUCACUCUCUGGAGGGUGGUGCUUCGUCCAGCAAUUCGGCAGGCAGUUCGCCGGUGACGAGUGCUGGGACAGGCGUCCUUACACCGAAGAUGGAGGACGUCAAGCCGGACGUAAUUUACGGCGGCGAGGCACCCAGACAGACGGUGCUCAUGUGGGGUGCACCACCGUCCAGGUCACCGCCACGGAACAACGGCGCCUACAGUCCCCCGAUAUCACAUUCCCAGACAACCCCAAACGACCCCUUGAAAUCGCUUGCGGAGAUGAACUCUGUAAACGGUGAUUGCAAGUGGAAGCAGACCUCGCCCAACGGGCAAACCACCAGUGUCGCCUCAUCGACUAGUCCGACGAGGAGCAAGGCUCAGCAACAACAGCAGCAGCAGCAGCAGCAGCAGCAGGCUCAGCAUCAGGGUCAGCAGCACCAUCAGCAGUACGCUGUGACUGCCGCCCAUUACGCCACUCCUGCUGGAUACCCGCACCCUCAUUCGGGACACGGUCACUCCGAGGGCGGUUCGGAGGUAUGGCAAGGAGUCCAGCACCACCAUCACCACUACCAGUACUAUCCUUACCACCAUCACCAUCACCAGCACCACCAGCACCACCAGAAUCACCCCGCACCGCCGCAAAGGCACGGGACACUGCAAUGUGCGCCCCACACGUCACCGGGAUCGUUGUCGGGGGGAGGAAUUGCCGGGGUAAUGGGGACGAGACUGUCGAUGGAAACGGGCAACGGCAACACCAGCAACAGCACCAGCAACAGCAACACCACCAACACCAGCAACAGCACCAGCAACAGCAACACCAUCAACAACAGCAGCCGCAGCACCAGCACCACCACCACCACCACCACCAGCAGCAGCAUCACAACCAUCAGCAACAGCAGCAACACCAACAUCAGCAACAGCAACAGCGUAUCGUACCAUCUGGCCCAUCACAACCAUCACGGUGUGGUCCCAAUAGUGGGCUCGCAGAUCCAAAGCCGGACACCGGGAGUCCUUUGCUGUCCAUCUCUGAGGUGACAAACACCCUGCUCAACCAGUAGCCAUCGAUAAAAGAUCCAACGUAUCUAUUCGUUGUAGUCGACAAUUCUUCGCGACUAGAACGAUGAAGGACUUGUAUGAAAGUAAGGGCCUCUCCAGGCGAAUUAUCACCGUAUUAUAUUGCCCUGCGUUGCAGGCUGUCUGUUAAAUCGACCGAUCAUGGAAUUUAUAAGUGCGCAAAUUGUACCAUACAAGAUGAAAAAAUUAUCAGUUCAAUUAAUCGAGAAUUAUAAAUUCUAUACACGUGUAUAAUGUAUAGGAUGAUAUAUCCUGUAAUAUAAAUAUACACAUGCACAGAGUGAAUUCCUAACGACUGCAUGAACCGUCGUUUGCUAAAAUUUAAUGCAUGCGAGCUACAAUCCGAAAACGACCGUUUGCCAGGGUGACCAACUGUCUCUAGCUGUCAAAAAUUUUGAAGUUACUUACAUGGCUGCGCGCUGUCGACUAAAUUUGUGAGAGUUAGUUGCCUUGACUUAGAGCCGCUCUCGGAUCGAGCGCAUGCGCAUUAAAUUUUAGUAGCCGAUAGACCGCGCAGUCGGUAUAAAUUAACUCUGUACAUACCCAUUUACUGAUCGUUAUGCAUGGAUAAGUAACAUGCCUUAUUGGAGUAUCGACGUAUGUCAUCUAAAAGAAGAGAUCGAUUCCACUCAAUUACACUACAAAAAUGAGGUAGGAAUGGAAGAAAAUUUUUAAUUCACCCCGAAACAGGCUCGUGGUUUAUUGAUUUUAUCCUCUUAAUUUCUUUGGUGGAAGCCGUGCAGAUUGUAAAUCAGACGUCAGAUAUUCAAAAUUGAUGAAAUCAGAUCGAACCAAUUGAGACAACCGCCAUGAAUUCCAGUAGAAGCACAAACUUACUGUACCUAACUCAAAAUAAACGCAACACAGAUCUGUAUUACGUUUGGAAGCGUAACAUGAAUUAAUUCCUAUUUGACCUACAUAUAUAGGUAUAUAUAUAUAUAUGAUAAUUUAUAUACAUAUACUGUACGUGUAAGAGAAUAAGAAAACUAUAUAUUAUAUAUAAAUUUAAUAUCGUAAAUAAUUAUAUCCAAUAUACACAAAAGUGUACAACGAUUCUGUAUAAUAAUUAUAAUAAAUAAUAAAAAAUAGAAAUAAAGAUAAUAAUAAUUAUAAUAAUGGUAAUAGAUGAAUAAAUAAUACUGCAGUAAAUAGGUAAUAAAUAAUAAUUAUAACAAUAAUAUCAAUAAUAGAUAUCGUGCUUGUAUAAUUACGAAAUGAAAUACGUAUUCUGUGAUAAGUGUUAGAUGAUUAUUUCGACACGAAAAUCGUCAGAGACGUACUUGGUUGCAGGAUGAUAUAGCGAGAAUUACGGCAAAGAAAGAGAGAGAGUAAAAAAAAAAAAAAGGGAAAUGAAAAAUAAAACUAAUACAAGCAAUAAUAAUUAAUCGCCUGGAACAUUAAUUG
rnacentral:misc_RNA from 1 species